AGCGAACGCUGGCGGCAGGCCUAACACAUGCAAGUCGAACGAAGCCUUCGGGCUUAGUGGCGGACGGGUGAGUAACACGUGGGAACGUACCUUCUGGUUCGGAACAACUCAGGGAAACUUGAGCUAAUACCGGAUGAGCCCUUCGGGGGAAAGAUUUAUCGCCAUUAGAGCGGCCCGCGUUAGAUUAGCUAGUUGGUGAGGUAAAGGCUCACCAAGGCUACGAUCUAUAGCUGGUCUGAGAGGAUGAUCAGCCACACUGGGACUGAGACACGGCCCAGACUCCUACGGGAGGCAGCAGUGGGGAAUCUUGCGCAAUGGGCGAAAGCCUGACGCAGCCAUGCCGCGUGAAUGAUGAAGGUCUUAGGAUUGUAAAAUUCUUUUACCAGGGACGAUAAGACGGUACCUGGAGAAAAAGCCCCGGCUAACUUCGUGCCAGCAGCCACCGUAAGAC
rnacentral:rRNA from 1 species